rnacentral:rRNA from 1 species
UACAGAGGGUGCAAGCGUUAAUCGGAUUUACUGGGCGUAAAGGGCGCGUAGGCGGCCACCGCAAGUCGACUGUGAAAUCUCCGGGCUUAACCCGGAAAGGUCAGCCGAUACUGCGGGGCUAGAGUGCAGAAGGGGCAACUGGAAUUCUCGGUGUAGCGGUGAAAUGCGUAGAUAUCGAGAGGAACACCUGCGGCGAAGGCGGGUUGCUGGGCUGACACUGACGCUGAUGCGCGAAAGCCAGGGGAGCGAACGGG